GGAGGGGGGACUUCAAUGAUGGGGGUAGGGGGGUGGGGGGAGGGGGAGGUGCCAGAAAAAAUGGAAGACUUCGAGGUUUGGGGGGUGUGGACCCCCGCUACUGUCUCUCCCUCCCCCGACGGGGCCUCGAGGGGGCAGAGGCGGGCGCAGGUGUGGGGACGGCGCGGGGGUGCCCUCCCCCCAGCUCC